GCGGUGGUGAGAGUGGGGGUACGAGGGGAGGGAUAAGAAGAGGUUGGGGGAAGGGAGGACAAAGGGGAAGGUAGGAAAAUGUGCUUAUAUAUAAUCAAAGGAACUUAGAAACAGAGUUGGUGUACAUGGAGUGUUUACUUGAGCUCUCUUAUGGCCCCCAGUUCUUCUGGUUAUCAUCUUCUGCUACUUGAAAUUUAUCUAUUUAUUUUUUUGUGAGUUGGUGGAAUCUAUUUGCAGAUUAUUGGAGAGCCAAAGAUUCCUUCAGUAUUUCUUCAAGUCCUUUGCUGGUCUUAGGGGAGUAUGGCGCUGCAGAUGGAAAGUUUUCUGCUUCCUACAGUACUGGAAAAUUACGUGAUGUUGCAGAGGCAUAUUCAAAUGAUGAAACUGUUAAGGAACUUAGAAACAGAGUUGCUGUGCAUGGAGUGUUUACUUGAGCUCUGUUAUGGUCUCCAGGGUUUUGGAACACUCGAGGGGAAAUGGACUUUGGCUGUAUGGGUUUGUGUUUUCUGCACUGCAUAAGUUACUUGAGAUUGCUGUUAUAAUGGUGUACCAAUGAGUUUACUUGGGAAUUCUCAUUUUUUUCAUUAUUAUUUUGGUUCCAAACUCAAAGAUGCCGUCAUUGACAUAUUAAUUUGUAUUUUCUAUGGAGCAAGAGAAGCCUCGAA